rnacentral:tRNA from 1 species
UCAAGGAGGAGACAAAGUCCCACCACCAGCACCCAAAGCUGACAUUCUCAUAAUUAAACUACCCCCUG